rnacentral:rRNA from 1 species
GUGCCAGCAGCCGCGGUAAUACGUAGGUGGCAAGCGUUAUCCGGAAUUAUUGGGCGUAAGGCGCGCGUAGGCGGUUUUUUAAGUCUGAUGUGAAAGCCCACGGCUCAACCGUGGAGGGUCAUUGGAAACUGGAAAACUUGAGUGCAGAAGAGGAAAGUGGAAUUCCAUGUGUAGCGGUGAAAUGCGCAGAGAUAUGGAGGAACACCAGUGGCGAAGGCGACUUUCUGGUCUGUAACUGACGCUGAUGUGCGAAAGCGUGGGGAUCAAACAG